GGAGGAAAAGAAACCAACAGGGAUUGCCUCAGUAACGGCGAGUGAAGCGGCAACAGCUCAAAUUUGAAAUCUGGCCCUAGGCCCGAGUUGUAAUUUGCAGAGGAUGCUUUUGGUGCGGUGCCUUCCAAGUUCCCUAGAACGGGACGCCAGAGAGGGUGAGAGCCCCGUACAGUUGGACACCAAGCCUUUGUAAAGCUCCUUCGACGAGUCGAGUAGUUUGGGAAUGCUGCUCAAAAUGGGAGGUAUAUUUCUUCUAAAGCUAAAUACCGGCCAGAGACCGAUAGCGCACAAGUAGAGUGAUCGAAAGAUGAAAAGCACUUUGAAAAGAGGGUUAAACAGCACGUGAAAUUGUUAAAAGGGAAGCGCUUGUGACCAGACUUGCGUCCGGUGAAUCACCCAGCUCUCGCGGCUGGGGCACUUCGCCGGCUCAGGCCAGCAUCAGCUCGCUGUCGGGGACAAAAGCUUCAGGAACGUAGCUCUCUUCGGGGAGUGUUAUAGCCUGUUGCACAAUACCCUUCGGCGGGCUGAGGUACGCGCUCCGCAAGGAUGCUGGCAUAAUGGUCAUCAGCGACCCGUCU
rnacentral:rRNA from 1 species